rnacentral:lncRNA from 1 species
CCAUCAUAACAUAUAUGAGAAGAACAUAACCCGUGUCAUGCCAACAACUGGUUUUUAAAUAAAUGUGUUUAGUUCCGAUGCAAAGACCCUAGAAGUGAAACAAUAUUAACGCCAAAAAUAUGCAAUCUUUAUUAACCUGACAACAGUAUUGUAACUAUAUCCCUUAUUAAUAAGUCUAUUUAAAAGUUUUGUUACCUUCUGAGGUGAAUACUGACAUUUUUGUGCUUUAUAAAGAAUAUUUCCAUAAAAUAUUGGAUGUGAAAUACCUGAACGUAUAAGAAGUCUGCAUGUUGAGCUAUAUUUACGAAUGAUGUCCUUAUACCGAUGAUAAAAUAUAGUAAAUGUUUUGACUAGUUUGUGAUAUCGUUUAUGGUGUAAUAAUUUUUCAGUAAUACAUAAAUUUCUAUCGUUAAAAUCUAAAACAUUGUUACAUACACGAGCGAAUCGUACAAGUUGAGAUAUAUAAACACCGUAAGAUGGUGACAAGGGAACGUCACCAUCUAAAAAUGGAUAAUUAACGAUAGGAAAUGAGAAAUCAUCUCUUUUAUCAUAAAUUUUAGUAUGAGGCUUUCCGUUAAUGAUGUAGUUAUCAAGAUCAAGGAAACAGCAGUGGUCAUUGUUAGUAUUAGUUUUAUUUAAAGUAAGUUCAACAGGAUAAAUUUCUUUGUAUACAUACUGCAGUCGUCAUUAUUGAGAGCCAAAAUAUCAUCCAAAUAUCUAAAAGUAUUAUUAAAUUUGUGUAUCAGAUGUUGUUUCGAUGGGUCUUUGCUGAUUUUUGUCAUAAAUUGUAACUCAUAGCAAUACAAAAACAGGUCCGCAAUAAAUGGUGCACAGUUAGUCCCCAUUGGAAUUCCGAUAACCUGGCGAUAUACGGAAUCUCAAAAGCGAACAAAAAUUAUAUCUAGUAAAUAUUCAAGGGCAGAUAUAGUAUCAAAGCAUGUCCAAUUGACAUAGUUUUUUUGUUUGUUGCUACUAAAAAAUGACCUUAAAGAUAUUGAACAUAUAUAUUCACAUUCUAAAAUUGAGAAUGGAAAUGGAGAAUGUGUCAAAGAGACAACAACUCGACCAAAUGAAAAACAACAGCAGAGGGUCACCAACAGGUCUUCAAUGUAGCGAGAAAUUCUCGCACCCGGAGGCGUCCUUCAGCUGGCCCCUAAACAAAUAUAUACUAGUCCAGUGAUAAUGAACGCCAUACUAAUUUCCAAAUUGUACACAAGAAACUAAAAUUAAAAUGAUACAAGACUAACAAAGGCCAGAGGCUCCUGACUUGGGACAGGCGCAAAAAUGCGGCGGGUUUAAACAUGUUUGUGAGAUCUCAACCCUCCCCCUAUACCUCUAACCAAUGUAGAAAAGUAAACGCAUAACAAUACGCAAAUUAAAAUUCAGUUCAAGAGAAGUCCGAGUCUGAUGUCAGAAGAUGUAACCAAAGAAAAUAAACAAAAUGACAAUAAUACAUAAAUAAAAAACAGACUACUAGCAGUUAACUGACAUGCCAGCUCCAGACUUCAAUUAAACUGACUGAAAGAUUAUGAUUUCAUCAUAUGAACAUCAGGCACAAUCCUUCCCGUUAGGGGUUUAGUAUUAUACCAUCAUAACAUACAAGACUUUUUAAAUGCCAUUUAAUUAGGUGUGUGAAUUUUUUCUUAACGAGAAUGUGAGGCAAUGUGGUAUAUAGGGUAGAAAAAUCAAAACUUUGAACAGAUUCAAAAUCACCAAUAUAAGCAUACCUUACAAACUGCUAGAACACAUCAUAUGCAAGCACAUUCUAAAACACCUUCAUAAACACAAAGUCUUAACAUCACUAAAUCAUGUAUCUAGAUCUGGCUAUUCAUGCGAAACACAACUGCUAGUCACCUUACACGAGUUCAUGAA